UGCUUUGCGAUCAGUUCUAAUCCCCUCCGCCACCUGGCCCGUCUUCCCUUUACGCCAGCAAACGCACUCGGGCGGCGACACCGUCCUCCUCCCUCUCGGUGUGGAUCCGACGGCGGCGUCACCGAGGUGGCCCUCCGGCCGUCCGGCGCCGGCAAGGCCGACGUGGAGGCCGGUCGGCGGCGCGCCCUCAGGCCGGCGCUGGGAGGGGCUCACCCGGCGGCACCGUCGUCCUCCCACUCAGCGCGGAUCUGACGGCGCCCUCCCCGAGGCAGACCUCCGG
rnacentral:lncRNA from 1 species